rnacentral:rRNA from 1 species
CUACCUAGUAGUAUGGGAUAGCCACUGGAAAUGGUGGGUAAUACCGUAUAAUCCCCGCGGGGGAAAGAUUUAUCGCUAUUAGAUGAGCCUAUGUCGGAUUAGCUAGUUGGUGGGGUAAUGGCCUACCAAGGCAGUGAUCUGUAGCUGGUCUGAGAGGAUGAUCAGCCACACUGGAACUGAGACACGGUCCAGACUCCUACGGGAGGCAGCAGUGGGGAAUAUUGGACAAUGGGCGCAAGCCUGAUCCAGCUAUGCCGCGUGAGUGAGGAAGGCCUUAGGGUUGUAAAACUCUUUCAGUAGGGAAGAUAAUGACGGUACCUA